rnacentral:misc_RNA from 1 species
UUUCCGUAGGUGAACCUGCGGAAGGAUCAUUAACGAGUUGCGACGCCUCAGGGAUCCAUCCCCACCCCUUGACUACCAACAUCGUGGCUUUUGCGGCCCGCGUCCCUGCUGGCGCCGGCCCCGGCUGGCGAGCGCCCGCCCGAGGCUUUUCCUAUCUUUCUUGCACUGUGUCUAAACGAAAAAACAAUGCGAAAAACUUUCAACAACGGACCUCUUGGUUCUG